GGCCGGGUCCUGUGCAAUCGCAGCCCGUGAACCGAGUCAGGGUCGGAAGGCAGCAGCUCUCAGCGGAGUCUGUGGUGUGCCGCAGUCA
rnacentral:SRP_RNA from 1 species